rnacentral:rRNA from 1 species
CUUGCCUACGGAGGCAGCAGUGGGGGAUAUUGCACAAUGGGGGCAACCCUGAUGCAGCGACGCCGCGUGAGCGAUGGAGUACUUCGGUAUGUAAAGCUCUGUCAGCAGGGAAGAGAAUGACGGUACCUGACCAAGAAGCCCCGGCUAAAUACGUGCCAGCAGCCGCGGUAAUACGUAUGGGGCAAGCGUUAUCCGGAUUUACUGGGUGUAAAGGGAGCGUAGGUGGCAGGGCAAGUCAGAUGUGAAAACCCGGGGCUCAACUCCGGGAGUGCAUUUGAAACUGUCCAGCUAGAGUGCAGGAGAGG